AGGACGAACGCUGGCGGCGGUGCCUAACACAUGCAAAGUCGAGCGAGAAUCUACUUAUGAAAUUUCGGAUGGAUUAGGUAGAGGAAAGUGGCGAACGGGUGAGUAACGCGUGAGCAAUCUGCCUUGUACUGGGGGAUAACGUCGGGAAACCGGCGCUAAUACCGCAUAAUACUAUGAGAUCGCAUGGUCAUAUAGUCAAAAACUCCGGUGGUACAAGAUGAGCUCGCGUCCAAUUAGCUAGUUGGUGGGGUAAUGGCCCACCAAGGCGACGAUUGGUAGCCGAACUGAGAGGUUGAUCGGCCACAUUGGGACUGAGACACGGCCCAGACUCCUACGGGAGGCAGCAGUGGGGAAUAUUGCGCAAUUGGAGGGAACUCUGACGCAGCAACGCCGCGUGAAGGAUGAAGGUUUUCGGAUUGUAAACUUCUUUGAUCGGGGACGGAAUUGACGGUACCCGAGGAACAAGCCACGGCUAACUACGUGCCAGCCGCCGC
rnacentral:rRNA from 1 species